ensembl:lncRNA
GUAACAAGCUCACAGCGGGCCGGCGGUGCUGACAGCCUGCUGCUGCCAAUGUCAUCUACUCGCCCUGUCAUCCCCCGUCCGGUCAAUUUGCUGUUCUCAUCUGGGCGCUCGAAGCGACCGGCGUCACGGCCGCACGCGACACUACGGACAGCAAGGAGCGGCCACACAGGACCCCUUGGGCGGGGCUGACCUUCUACCAGGACGUAGCGCCGGCCGCGUGGCUAACAGUCACACUGACCGGUGGGGAUUUACGCUUAGGUUUUAUUUUUAGUGAACUCGCCCAGACCGAGACAAAUUGACCGCGGCGUUGAAACGCUGGCAGGGAAAGGUCGAUGGCUCUGCCGCCCGUAUAUCACAGCAACGCGUUGUGCUGUGAUUUGAUGGGGGGCCGAUUCAUCCCAGACACUGUGGUGGUGCCAACGCUGAUUACAAAUGCUGUUUAAGUGUAGGUGGAAGGAGGAUCAUUACAACAGUCUGAGAGGAGGAGUUGCUGUCACCGCUUAAGAAAAAUGCAAAUGGCCUCUUGCUGAGUUAGGCUGUGGCCACUGCCAGCUGUGUUGCUGCUACAUCGUCAAACAAAUGAAGGAGAAGAACUGGACCACAGAAGGUUUCAAUCAGUACCAGGAGCCAGAUGUGGGCAUCAGGACACUGGCCAAAGAGGAGGAGAGAGUGGAGGAGGAGGCGGAGGAUUGGACAGUGGUAAGACACGCCAGGAACGCCAAAACCAAGACGAGUUAGAACGAAGGACCUGCCCGCGGGGCUGCAGGACGCAGAAAGCCUCGGUCAACCUGCCCAGAGACUGGAACGGAUCUGUAGGACACCAUGAAGUUAAAAUGGGUUAUUUUCACAGUUGUAUUAUUCUCCCAUUUAACUAAAUGUCAUGUAGUCUAAACAGUUACGUUUUUUUACAGUUAUUUUACAUCCAAAUCGAAUAAAGGCAACUUCGGCUCUCCGCUGUGUGUGUGUGUGUGUGUGUGUGUGUGUGUGUGUGUGUGUGUGUGUGUGUGUGUGUG